GACUAAGGUUUCCAGAGGAAGGCUCGUCCGCUCUGGGUUAGUCGGGUCCUAAGCUGAGGCCGACAGGCGUAGGCGAUGGAUAACAGGUUGAUAUUCCUGUACCACCUAGUAUCGUUUUAAUCGAUGGGGGGACGCAGUAGGAUAGGCGAAGCGUGCUGUUGGAGUGCACGUCCAAGCAGUAAGGCUGAGUGUUAGGCAAAUCCGACACUCAUAAGGCUGAGCUGUGAUGGGGAGAGGAAAUUGUUUCCUCGAGUCGUUGAUUUCACACUGCCGAGAAAAGCCUCUAGAUAGAUAACAGGUGCCCGUACCGCAAACCGACACAGGUAGUCAAGAUGAGAAUUCUAAGGUGAGCGAGCGAACUCUCGUUAAGGUG
rnacentral:rRNA from 1 species